UGUCAGAAUCAAUUCCUUAAGGGGGGACGUAGAUGUUUCAAAUGAUAAAUCUUUGUUUGCACCUUUUGUUGUCAGAAAAUGUAAGGGGAUAUUACAUGUUGCGCCAUUGUUCCCGACCACCCCGUGACUUUGUUGGGGCCGGCCCUGUCAAGAAGGCCAAUCCUCGGCACUCUCUCCGUGGUUUUAGUUCCACCUUACACCGGGGCCAUGCCUUCGUGGACCAAGUUUGCUUCUCAGAUCCCCUAUUUUAUGAACCACUUGACUAUUAGAAAUGGAGCGGAGGCCAAGGGCUCGAUAUAUCUAAAGGCCAUGAUUAACUUAUCGGCCAAAGUCCUCAUAUUAACUAGUAUUAAUUCAGAACUUGAUGGUGUUUAAAUUAGCUAAUGAACAUUACUUGCUUCUAGUUAAUGGAUAUUGUAUUCAAUCGUAUAGACAGGACAGGACAGUACAAUUUGAUCUCCAAAAUAUAUGAGUUUGCUGUAGACCUUUAACUAAUUGUGAAAUAAGUUCUUUUAGGUUGGAUUUCUUGAGAAAGAUUGCGUAUACAUACUACAUAUAUUCUGAAAGCCGUUACGUGCUGUUGAUUAUUAGCAUCGAAUUUCCAAACCUUGGAAUAGGGACAUGGUGUCACGCGCUAGAAUCUGUGAAUUUUUUUACGUUGAAAUCAGUGUUGAGUUGCUAUGUUGGUUUCUCUCAAUAGAAUUCUCCUUUCGUCAAAGAAAACUGAUUAAGCUUCUAUUGUUGAUGACGAUAAGGUCAUGCUGAGGCCUAUGUAGUUUUGCAGCUUCAGUCUCUUGGAGCAACUAAAAGCAUUCGCGAAAAUCGUCCCCAAUACGUUCAUUCUUCUUGCUGCGAAAAGUUUCUUAGUUCUAAUGAUAUUGUUCAUGAAAAUCAACCUCUUUGGAGAACUGCAGUAAAACUAAAACCAAUGAUUUCCAUCCAUAAGAUUAAAGAUGGAGCUUUUCAUUCUUGUUCCAUUUGACCUUGUUCAAUAUGUUUUCUUCUAUCAUCCAGGCUCUCUGUCGUAUCACGGAAAAUUAAAGCAUAUUGACAUUUUGAGGGAUAUAACAGCCUGCCUGCAAAAUUUAGCUGCUCCUCAAGGAGAUUCAAGGAACCAUCAUGAGAUCUGGAUUAAUGAAUGUGACAUCGAGUUUCCCAGAGCCAUCUAACUUCCAAAUGGCAGUUUAUAUUGAUACUACUGCUUUGGAGAUGAAGGUAUAUGUCAUAUUUCUUCUUUAAAAUUUUGUUUACUCUCUCAGUGAUUGGGACCUGUGGAUAUUGUUGGGGUCGAACCCUGGUUCUCUCAUUAAUUGGCGCUACCAGAUUUUGCUUUUUUGGAAAAUCGUGUUUAAAUGAGAAACACGCUUUUAUAAGUUGAGCGUUGCUUCUGGAUGGCUGACAUGUUUUGCUCUCUUGGCCGUUGGAUGAUCAUGGAUCUAGAAAGAUAAGUUCUUAUUCUUUAUUUCUUAGUGGAUCUUGAGAGUCAUCACUGUAAUUUGAGAGACAAGUUCUUAUUCUUCAUUUCUCUGAACUUUUGUAAUCUUUGUUGCCAUUUUGUGUUGUUCUUAGCGCAACUGAACAUAAUCCUUUUAUUAGAUGCUCAACGGGGAAUGUAGGUGUUAGAAGCGGUCACCGAACCUUCAAGGCUACGGCCGAAAUAAUUCUUUGCUAUUCAACUUUAGUUUUCUGAAGUUUA